rnacentral:rRNA from 1 species
AUUGAACGCUGGCGGCAUGCCUUACACAUGCAAGUCGAACGGCAGCACGGGGCAACCUGGUGGCGAGUGGCGAACGGGUGAGUAAUGCAUCGGAACGUACCUUUCAGUGGGGGAUAACGUAGCGAAAGUUACGCUAAUACCGCAUAUUCUGUGAGCAGGUAAGCAGGGGAUCGCAAGACCUUGCGCUGAUUGAGCGGCCUGCGUCCGAUUAGCUAGUUGGUGAGGUAAUGGCUCACCAAGGCGAUGAUCGGUAGCUGGUCUGAGAGGACGAUCAGCCACACUGGCACUGACACACGGGCCAGACUACUACGGGAGGCAGCAGUGAGGAAUAUUGGUCAAUGGGCGAAAGCCUGAACCAGCAACGCCGCGUGAGGGAUGAAGGCCUUCGGGUCGUAAACCUCUUUUCUGGGAGAAGAGACAAGGACGGUAUCCCAGGAAUAAGUCUCGGCUAACUACGUGCCAGCAGCCGCCGCAGUAA